UCUGUAUCCAGGUGCUUAGUCUGAUUGCCUAGGAAGUUGCAGAAGUAAUUGCUGUGAAAAUAACUUACUUUCCCCAGAAAACACAGGAUCUGGCCUCCAUCUAGUUCCUUAAGGCUUCUUCUGCACAAGGGUCCGAGACCCCAUGAUACGGCUGCAGCGAGGCUCUGUGCCAAUCAUGGACUCACAUAGGACAGUCUCUAAUGAUAGGACAAGUACCCUUGGACCUGUGUUCCUACAACUUCUGCAAGAGCCUCCUGGGCACAUACCCAGCAUGGGAGAUUGCUGGGCAUAAGGGGAUCUAUACCUUCUCUCUGGAAACUUUUAGAAUUGUCAUUUUUGUUUUUGGUUUCCUGGAACAUAUUUAUUUUCUUUACCUUCUGAGCCCCAUGAUGUGACAGCAAAGGAGUAAAAACUGGUAUAAACUUCCAAUAAUGUAGAGAACAUGGAGAGAGUCUUCAGAAGAUAGGCAAUUAAGUGAUGUGUGGAUUAUAAGAAGUAGGACGGUCACCAAAUGGAACUUGGGUCCACUCAUCCGAUGUGCAGCAAAGCCAAUCCGCUGACACAGGGCUAUGGCGAAGGAAAGUGGAGCGUUUAUUACAGGGCACCAAGCAAGGAGAUAGCUCCUCCUCAAGGGAUAUAUUGAUACAUAACAAUCUGAUACAAAUCUUUGAGUUCUUCUAUAGGAACUAAGGUCCUCACCCAGGUAACUUCAGGCUGAGCACAAGAUUCCUGGAGCACUGCCCUGUUACCUCACCACUAACCAAUCAGAAGAAAGUCAUGCACCGCACAGCCCUCACCCCAAAUUUUGCUUUUUAAAACUCUCCUCCGAAAACCAACAGGGAGUUUGGGUCUUUUGAGCAUGACCUGCCUGUUCUCCCUGCUUGGCCUUUGGAAUAAACAUUUCUCUGCUCCAAACUUUGAUGUUUCCAUUUGUUUGGCCUUACUGUGAGUAGGGCACAUGAACUUGGGUUCAACACAGUUUCGCUCCUGUCUAAAGAAAUCAAACAACCUGUUUUUAGUGUGGGCAAUAAUGCCA